rnacentral:rRNA from 1 species
AGCAUAAUCAUUUGCCUUUUAAUUGUAGGCCUGUAUGAAUGGAUUAACGUGGGAUUGGUUGUCUCUUAUAUAGGGUUAUAAAUUAAUUUUUAGGUGAAGAAGCCUAAAUAAUAUUGAAAGACAAGAAGACCCUAUCGAGUUUUACUAUAUAAUUAGACUUGUAAGAGUUUUUAUGUUUUAUUAAAAUAAUGUGUAGUUUGAUUGGGGCGAUUAGAGAAUACAAUUAGCUUCUCUUCUGUAUAGAAAAUAAUUCUUGUAGUAGAUCCAUUAUUAAUGAUUUGAAGACUAACACUACCGUAGGGAUAACAGGCUAAUUUCUCUAGAGAGUUCAUAUUGACAGAGAAGAUUGGCACCUCGAUGUUGGCUUAGAUUAUCCUUUGUAUGUAGCAGUAUAAAAAGGUUGGUUUGUUCAACCAUUAAAAU